rnacentral:tRNA from 1 species
GGAGAGGUGGCCGAGUGGACGAAAGCGACUGAUUGCUAAUCCGUUGUACAAUAGUACCGAGGGUUCGAAUCCCUCUCUCUCCG